UAUUUUGUGAUGAGAAUUUAACUUUCGCCCCUAUCUGAACACAAAUGUGAAACUUCUCAUGUUGAAUGCGAUAUUGGUCUUGCUGAUAAUAAAAC
rnacentral:snoRNA from 13 species